GCAGUUUCUGCAGGAGCGGGAACUGCUAAAAGCACAGGUGGCAGAGGUGAGACUUUGCAGAGGGAGGGAUGUGGAAGGAAGAUGACCCCAGGUGGCCAGGAGCAGGUGAGGACCAGUGACAGCCCUUCCUAACUUCUGGGUCCAUUCUUGCAGGUGACGGAGUGUCUUAAGAAAGCUCAGCUAGAAAGAGACGCAUACGCUCAACAGCUCAAAACAGAGAGGGCGCGGUGGCAGCAGCAAUUGCUGAAAAUGGCAGGAGAAAUUGAAAUAUUCAAAAUGGAGAAAAGACAGGACGCAAUUAAAAUUGAGAAGCUGAAGGGGAGCCUUGCCCACCUACAAAACCAUCUGGCUGAACCCCCAAUCCCGAAGCCUCCAGCAGGGCACUCUGACUUGGAGAAAAACCUAAAAUCUGAA